AUGCACGCGGGGGGGGGGCCGAAUACAUGCAAGUCGAGCGAACAGACGAGGAGCUUGCUCCUCUGACGUUAGCGGCGGACGGGUGAGUAACACGUGGAUAACCUACCUAUAAGACUGGGAUAACUUCGGGAAACCGGAGCUAAUACCGGAUAAUAUAUUGAACCGCAUGGUUCAAUAGUGAAAGACGGUUUUGCUGUCACUUAUAGAUGGAUCCGCGCCGCAUUAGCUAGUUGGUAAGGUAACGGCUUACCAAGGCGACGAUGCGUAGCCGACCUGAGAGGGUGAUCGGCCACACUGGAACUGAGACACGGUCCAGACUCCUACGGGAGGCAGCAGUAGGGAAUCUUCCGCAAUGGGCGAAAGCCUGACGGAGCAACGCCGCGUGAGUGAUGAAGGUCUUCUGAUCGUAAAACUCUGUUAUUAGGGAAGAACAAAUGUGUAAGUAACUAUGCACGUCUUGACGGUACCUAAUCAGAAAGCCACGGCUAACUACGUG
rnacentral:rRNA from 1 species